UAAUACGUAGGGGGCGAGCGUUGUCCGGAUUUAUUGGGCGUAAAGAGCUCGUAGGCGGCUGGGCAAGUCGGGUGUGAAAACUCCAGGCUCAACUUGGAGACGCCACUUGAUACUGCCCUGGCUUGAGUCCGGUAGGGGAGCGCGGAAUUCCUGGUGUAGCGGUGAAAUGCGCAGAGAUCAGGAGGAACACCGGUGGCGAAGGCGGCGCUCUGGGCCGGUACUGACGCUGAGGAGCGAAAGCGUGGGGAGCGAACAGGAUUAGAUACCCUGGUAGUCCACGCUGUAAACGUUGGGCACUAGGUGUGGGGCCUCAUCGACGGGCUCCGUGCCGCAGCUAACGCAUUAAGUGCCCCGCCUGGGGAGUACGGCCGCAAGGCUA
rnacentral:rRNA from 1 species